GAUGAAGAACGUAGCGAAAUGCGAUAAGUAAUGUGAAUUGCAGAAUUCAGUGAAUCAUCGAAUCUUUAACGCACAUUGCGCCCCUUGGUAUUCCGAGGGGCAUGCCUGUUCGAGCGUCAUUAUAACCCCUCAAGCUCAGCUUGGUGUUGGGGCCUGCUGCACUGGCAGCCCUUAAAAUCAGUGGCGGCGCCAUCUGGCUCUAAGCGUAGUAAUUCUUCUCGCUAUGGAGUCCUGGUGGAUGCUUGCCAUCAACCCCCAAUUUUUCUAUGGUUGACCUCGGAUCAGGUAGGGAUACCCGCUGAACUUAAGCAUAUCAAUAAGCGGAGGA
rnacentral:misc_RNA from 1 species